rnacentral:rRNA from 1 species
AAUUCGAUUGAGUUUGAUCAUGGCUCAGGAUGAACGCUGGCGGUAUGCUUAACACAUGCAAGUCGAACGAAGCCUUUCGGGGCUUAGUGGCGGACGGGUGAGUAACGCGUGAGAAUCUGCCAUCAGGUCUGGGACAACCACUGGAAACGGUGGCUAAUACUGGAUGUGCCCUUCGGGGUGAAAGGUUAACUGCCUGUUGAUGAGCUCGCGUCUGAUUAGCUAGUAGGUGUGGUAAAGGCGCACCUAGGCGACGAUCAGUAGCUGGUCUGAGAGGACGAUCAGCCACACUGGGACUGAGACACGGCCCAGACUCCUACGGGAGGCAGCAGUGGGGAAUUUUCCGCAAUGGGCGAAAGCCUGACGGAGCAAUACCGCGUGAGGGAGGAAGGCUCUUGGGUCGUAAACCUCUUUUCUCAGGGAAGAACACAAUGACGGUACCUGAGGAAUAAGCAUCGGCUAACUCCGUGCCAGCAGCCGCGGUAAUACGGAGGAUGCAAGCGUUAUCCGGAAUGAUUGGGCGUAAAGCGUCCGCAGGUGGCGGUGUAAGUCUGCUGUUAAAGAGUCUAGCUCAACUAGAUAAGAGCAGUGGAAACUACAUAGCUAGAGUACGUUCGGGGCAGAGGGAAUUCCUGGUGUAGCGGUGAAAUGCGUAGAGAUCAGGAAGAACACCAGUGGCGAAGGCGCUCUGCUAGGCCGUAACUGACACUGAGGG